rnacentral:piRNA from 1 species
UAAUGAUGGCUGCUGGAAACAUGGCAGA